GCCGUCGUCGACCAGUGGAAGGUCAUCCUCGAAAAGUGGGUAUACCCGUGUACCUCCGAGGAAGGCGGGGGUUCGAGUCCUCCUGACGGUA